rnacentral:misc_RNA from 1 species
GAUGAAGAACGUAGCGAAAUGCGAUAAGUAGUGUGAAUUGCAGAAUUCAGUGAAUCAUCGAAUCUUUGAACGCACAUUGCGCCCCUUGGUAUUCCGAGGGGCAUGCCUGUUCGAGCGUCAUUAUCACCCCUCAAGCUUUGCUUGGUGUUGGGGCCUGCUGUAAUAGGCAGCCCUUAAAAUCAGUGGCGGUGCUUCAAGGCUCUAAGCGUAGUAAUUCUCCUCGCUAUAGUGUCUAGUGGUUGCCAGCCAGAACCCCCCAAUUUUCAUGAUUGACCUCGGAUCAGGUAGGGAUACCCGCUGAACUUAAGCAUAUCAAUAAGCGGAGGA